rnacentral:rRNA from 1 species
UGGGGAAUUUUGCGCAAUGGGGGGAACCCUGACGCAGCAACGCCGCGUGCGGGAUGAAGGCCUUCGGGUUGUAAACCGCUUUCAGCAGGGAAGAUAGUGACGGUACCUGCAGAAGAAGCCCCGGCUAACUACGUGCCAGCAGCCGCGGUAAUACGUAGGGGGCGAGCGUUAUCCGGAUUCAUUGGGCGUAAAGCGCGCGUAGGCGGCCCGUCAAGCGGAACCUCUAACCCGAGGGCUCAACCCCCGGUCGGGUUCCGAACUGGCAGGCUCGAGUUUGGUAGAGGAAGAUGGAAUUCCCGGUGUAGCGGUGGAAUGCGCAGAUAUCGGGAAGAACACCGAUGGCGAAGGCAGUCUUCUGGGCCAUCAACUGACGCUGAGGCGCGAAAGCUGGGGGAGCGAACA